rnacentral:rRNA from 1 species
GGUCCGGGCGUUAUCCGGAUUUAUUGGGUUUAAAGGGAGCGUAGGCCGUUGUUUAAGCGUGUUGUGAAAUGUCCCGGCUCAACCGUGGCACUGCAGCGCGAACUGGACGACUUGAGUGCGCGGAACGUAUGCGGAAUUUGUGGUGUAGCGGUGAAAUGCUUAGAUAUCAUGAAGAACUCCGAUCGCGAAGGCAGGCAUCCGGAGCGCGACUGACGCUGAGGCUCGAAAGUGCGGGUAUC